AGACGUCUACAUUAGAUACCCGGGUAGUCCCAGCCGUAAACUAUGCGCGUUAGGUGUAUCGGUGACCACGAGUUACCGAGGUGCCGAAGGGAAACCGUGAAACGUGCCGCCUGGGAAGUACGGUCGCAAGGCUGAAACUUAAAGGAAUUGGCGGGGGAGCACAACAACGGGUGGAGCCUGCGGUUUAAUUGGACUCAACGCCGGACAACUCACCGGGACGACAGCAAUAUGUAGGCCAGGCUGAAGACCUUGCCUGAAUCGCUG
rnacentral:rRNA from 1 species